AUACUUAUCUGGAUGAGGUCAAUGGGCGAUCAUUAAGGCUCAUGGCCUAGGUUAGUGACCUCCAAUGCACAUAGGAGGGGCGCUCGCCUAAGGUCUAUCCAAGUGGUGGAGCCUACGUCAUAAUUUGUGGUAGCGGGGACCUGCGUUCGCGCGGUCCCUA